GCUGGACCACACCGUUUAGGUUUCGUUUUGAAACACUUUUACUUUUGCAGACGAAUACGUUGGUGUCCCACUGGGAACUGCUGCUGGUGGAUGCUCACCAUAGGAAGCAGCCGUGUGGCGUUCCCCCUUGUCUGCCUCUGCCCAGCGCUGCCCCCUCCAGCAGAGUUCCUCAGGUAUGGUUCGUGGAUUGGGUCCACGAUGAGAUAAGGAGCCAUGCAGAAUGAAAUCAGCUCCACCACUGAGCACGCAGUUGAGCCCCACAAACACCCUUUGCAAGUGAGACUUUCGGGAUGAAGGCAGUAUGGGCCUGUCGAUCCCUGGAGCAGCCCGGAGGCUGCAGCACCGUGCUUCCCUCCUGGACGGGGGCUACGGCCCCGUGCUUCCCUCCUGGACGGGGGCUACGGCCCCGUGCUUCCCUCCUGGAUGGGGGCUACGGCCCCGUGCUUCCCUCUUGGAUGGAGGCAGCCCUGCCUGCCGGUGGCCUGAUUUAUGGGCCCUGAUGCGACGGUGCCUCGGGGCUCUUGGGAUCCUCCUUUGCUCUGGCCAGAGGGAUGCGGCGCCACACUCGGGGUUCAUGCCGGCAGUGGCACGGAGUGAGUCGCCAGGCUGAAGAUACACUUGGUGAUUUCCUGCACUGAGUGGAGCUGUCUGGAGCCCCCUUGGCAUCCUGCUGAAGAGUUUGAAUCUGCACAUGAGCCUCCUGGAGAUAUUGAACACCUUUUAAAGCGUGGCCAGGCCCAAUCCAGGGUGCUGUGAGUGUACCGUCCACCCUGGGUUUCAAAGACACAGUACCAAAAACAAACAAAAAAAGAAUAUAAAACAUCUUAUUCAUGGGCGGUCAUGGUGGCUCACGCCUGUAAUCCCAGCACUUUGGAAGGCCGAGGCAGGCAGGCCACGAGGUCAAGAGAUCAAGACCAGCCUGGCCAACAUGGUGAAACCCCAUCUUUACUAAAAAUACAAAAAUUAGCUGGGCAUGGUGGCGGGCGCCUAUAAUCCAAGCUACUUGGGAGGCUGAGGCAGGAGAAUCACUUGCCCAGGGAGGCGGACGUUGCAGUGAGCCAAGAUUACGCCACCGCACUCCAGCCUGAGCAACAAAGUGAGACUCCAUCUCAAAAAACAAAAAACAAAACCUCAUUCACUUUUUAUAUUGAUUGUGUUGAAAUAAUAUUUUUGAUAUAUUGGAUUAAGCUAUAGUGUUAACAUAAACUUUACCUGUUUCUUUUUACCUUUUUAAUGUGGCUACUGAAAUAUUUAAAGUUGCAUAUAUGGCCAGGGACAGUGGCCCACACCCGUAGUCCCAGCACUUUGGGAGGCCAAGGUGAGGAGAGGGCUGCAUGAGCUCAGGAGUUCGAGACCAACCUGGGCAACAAAGUGAGAUCCCCGUCUCUGCAAAAAUAACAACAACAAAAAAAAAUAGGUGGGUGAGGUGGUGUGCACCUGUAGUCCCAGCUGCUAGAAAGGCCAAGGUGGGAGGAUCACCUGAGCCCAGGAGGUUGAGGCUGCAGUGAGCUAUGAUUGCACCACUGCACUCCAGCCUGGGUGACAGAGCAAGACCCUGUCUCAAAAACAUUUUUUUAAUUAAAAAAAAUAACAUAUUGAGGUGAGAUUCACAGAACCUAAAACUAACCAUUUUACAGUAUACACGUUAGGCCAGGUGCAGUGGCUCACGCCUGUGACCUUAGCACUUUAAGAGGCUGAGGCGGGUGGAUCACUUGAGAGCAGGAGUUUGAAACCAGCCUGGCCAACAUGGUGAAACCCAAUCUCUACUAAAAAUACAAAAAAAUUAGCCAGGUGUGGUGAUGGGCGCCUGUAAUCCCAGUUACUUUGGAGGCUGAGGCAGGAGAAUCACUUGAACACAGAGGCGGAGGUUGCAGUGAGCCAAGAUUACGCCACCACACUCCAGCCCGGGUGACAGAGCGAGACUCCGUCUAAAAAAAAAAAAAAAAA
rnacentral:lncRNA from 1 species